AGGACCAGACGAUUUUUUUAUUUUAUUGAAGAUAAUUUAUGGACAAAUAGACGUGUGACCUUUUAAAAUAUUGAAAUUCUGGGGGAAAUGAGUAGAUUCUCGUUGGAUGGGUAGAAAUUGUUGAUUCUGGGUGAGAUUGAGGGGUCAUGGAGAGAAAUCAAUAAGAAGGAGAAGUGGCUUCGCUGGAGAGAUUGAAUAAAAGAAGAUGAUUUGUUUUUCGCAGCCAGACUUGACGCCUGUGAUGUUGUAAUUUGUUACUUGAUGCUUUUUCCAGACUUUGGAAUAUCUAAGCCUCCAGCAGUGUUCCCUCAGAGCCUUUUAGUCACUGCGAUUAGCUUUGCUUUGCUUUCCAUAGCUAUACCGGUCUACCACCAUCCUGUACUGGUGUCUGAGGGUAGAUGUCUAUAAUUUCAAAUAAAUACAAGGCCGGCAAGAGGAAAUUGCAACAUUGUUAAAAUGAUUUAAGGCUCAAUUUCCGAAUUAGGGGCACCGGUAAUUACCGAUGGUAAUUUCCCUUUAACCAAGUUUAACACGGUAAAAUCAAAACAAAAGCUUGAAAAAGUUGAUCUAAGUAAAUUUUUUUCUAAGGUCAACUAUAUUGUGAACAUUAAAAAUAAAAAAAACAUAGAUAUCCCAAAUAUUUUGUUGCAAAGCCCCGAAAAACCAAUCUGAUCUCAAAUUGUAAAUUGAUCAAUCUAUCCCACCGCGUAAUAGACCUCGCGAAUGUUUAUAACGUUCAUCUUCGUUCAUCAAGUAGAUUAGAAAAAGAGGAAGUCAUUCUUAUCACUCUCAUGCCUCGCCUUCAUUGAAAACCAAACAUUUACUCACCUGCGAACACCACUCAGAAUAAUUCAUUUACAAAAAUCACGAAUUUAGUUUUCAUAAUUUUAUUCUCAAGAUAAUUUCUCUAUACACAUUGUCACCGUAGCCUCCAGCUCCAACCACAAAAUAAAUCACCCGAAACGCUCACCUUGUAAUUCAAAAAACGAGUACAAAUCAAUCCUGGAACUAUCCUAAUGUUAUGAUAAUCAUUAUCUAAAUCGUGCAAUUUCCAAAGUAAUGAGUAAGUUGGAACUCUGGCACCCUAAUUAUAUUUCCUAUGUCAAAUUUAAACAGUAAAUAGUCAGAACAAAAUAUGACAAC